GAAAGUGGAGUAUAUAUACGUUUCAGUUACAUUGAAAAAACCUCAUUUGAGCGCUUUCU
rnacentral:tRNA from 1 species